GAAUAUGUCGUGAUUCAAGAGAAUAUUCAGUUGUAUUCUUGCAAGAAAUAAAUUUUAUUUUUUUUCAGUAAUGUAUGAAAGAUCUUUUGGAACGCAUUUAUUGCAAGGAAAAAAUUGGAAUUGUACAAAACUCAUCAGUCGAUCAGAUGAAUUUAUUGAACCUAAUAUUUACAACCAGUAUGACAUAAAAUAUAGCAAGCCAACAACAAUAUAAAAAAGUACCGUCUUUAUAAAUGUGUCCGAUAAAUUGUCAUCAUCCAUCUUUAUGUUGUCUUUUUUUCAGCGGCGCAAGUUGUCUUUCUUUUUGUUCUUACACUCGUCUCUCUGAGAUGACAGUCGUUCGAUCCCUCUCUCCGGAAGCGGAUCGGUCGUCGCGCGACCACCGGAUCAGGUAGCGGCUGGCCAUCUGAAGGUUCCACUGGUACCUGGAGAGGAUCCUUAGGCAGUCCUCUCGGGAACAAAGACUCAGUGAGUACAGCUGCUCCAACUGGUGUUCCCCAGUUACGAUCCGGAUGGAUGUCCCCGUGACCAGUGUGCUGCAGACUCCCCUUCACCGGAGCGUCUCCGGGGUAACCGUGUGUGGGGAGGCGGGGCCGGCGGACCGACGGCGCCCGCUCCAAGAUGGCGGCGAGGAGGUGUGAACGAGGGAGCGGCAAGGUAGGGCGCGCUGGGAGCGACGCCGCAAUCAGCAUAAGGUGCGUGUAGCGCGCAGCUGAGGACAGUGCAAUCACCCUCUCGGACCGUGUAAGAGGGCGAGAGAUGUGAACAUCAAGAGAGAGACACGGAGAAAGACGGCGGACAGGAGGAAACCAUCCUCUGCUACCACGCGAACGACGGCGACGUGCUUGGAAGCAGACGGCGGACGGAAGGAAACCAUUCCUGU